rnacentral:rRNA from 1 species
GAGUUUGAUCCUGGCUCAGAUUGAACGCUGGCGGCAUGCCUUACACAUGCAAGUCGAACGGCUAGCACGGGAGCUUGCUCCUGGUGGGCGAGUGGCGAACGGGGUGAGUAAUGCAUCGGAACGUAUCCUGGAGUGGGGGAUAACGUAGCGAAAGUUACGCUAAUACCGCAUAUUCUGUGAGCAGGAAAGCGGGGGACCUUCGGGCCUCGCGCUCUUGGAGCGGCCGAUGUCGGAUUAGCUAGUUGGUGAGGUAAGGGCUCACCAAGGCGACGAUCCGUAGCAGGUCUGAGAGGAUGAUCUGCCACACUGGAACUGAGACACGGUCCAGACUCCUACGGGAGGCAGCAGUGGGAUUUGGACAAUGGGGCACCUGAUCCAGCCAUGCCGCGUGAGUG